CCUUCAAAGUUUUGACUUUAGAUUGCUUGUCACAAAUAUAAAACAAUCUGAACAUCAAAUUAUUUUGACUAUUUGAUGUCGAAAUAAGUAAUUAAACUAUUAAAUAAACUAAAUUACACAUUUCUUUGUCCUUAAUCUCUUUAAAAAUGCACAUGAAAGAUAACCCUACUUUCAAUAGCAGCUACGAAAGCAACGAGAGGCUAACUACAGAAAAUUUAAAUUUCGUUUAAUUCGAAUUCUUGGUAGUUCAUACAGAUAUAGAAUAAAAUUAGUGCAAUAUUUGACAACCUUGUAUUUUAUGUAACUAUUACCAUGAAGUUAAAAGUAGCGCAUUUUAUCAGCAGACAAUUAAUAUGUAGUUUAAUUAUUUCUUCCCCACUUGAUACAUUGACAAGUGUAAACUACUGUGCAUGUGCUAUGCUAUCUUCAUGCCCUGUUAAGACGGAAAGUUGUUUUGUAAACACAGGUGAGGUAUUAUCAUAAAACCUAACAUUAUACAGCCUUGUAAAACAGUGGUUAGUUGUAGACAUGAAGGAUAAACAUCCAAAUGAUCCAGAUGAAACAACUGUGUGAAUAACGCCAAAAUAAAGUGGUUACUGCAUGUGUCUGGAAACUGGUCCUAUGCAGAUACUGGAGUCAAACCAGUACAGAUGUUGUGUACCAGUAAGCUGUAUUUGCUCUUAAUUGAACAGUAAAGAAGGCACAGAGUGUUACAGACACAAGGAUCAUGCUGCAGUGAGAAACAAAGAAAUUCCUGUUGUUGUGUGCCAUGGAGUGUCAUGGAAAAAGGAUAUGGAAAAUACAGGGAUGAGGAUGUGUGAAGCUGCAGGAAAGCAAGCUGGAAGUUAUAUACCCAGAAUUCCAAGAGAAAAGGGGCUGUACGUCUGUGAAGGGUAUUGUUAUGAGAUUAGGGAGUUGCUCAACAGAUUGAAUUGUUAAUUGUGAAAUAGCAGUGAGGCAGAAUGGCUACAAAAUAUGGACUUCAGAAGAGAAGGCCUGUAUUCUACAUGCUGUAUUGAGGGAACAAUAUUGGAUUUUCAGAUUUCAUGCAAAUGAUAGAAAGCAUUUUACAAGUUUAUACUGGAUACUGAACAAUAUGGCGUACAGAAGUUUGGAUUGUUUUGGCUGGAUAGUUUGUACAGUAUGGUGAAACUAGAGGAUGAAAGCUCACAUACAAGUAGCAAGUCCUCAGUUUCUAGUUAGGAUGAGUUGACAGUGUUUGUCCAUAGAGUACAGAAACCUCUCACUGCUGCAUACAACUAUGACUAUGAGCCUUACUCAAAACCCCAUAAAGAACAAAUCUCAACAAGCUACAGUAUUACAUCGGCUGUUUGGUCUGCAGAUAACAAGUCAGCGGUUUGACCUCCAGAUCAGCAGUGUACCCUCGUAAAUUGGUACAGCUUGUGAGCAAGAUAGCAGGUCCGUCUAACAACCUACUGCAUCACUGCCACUUACAUGCUCAGAUGAAGAUUGUGGAUCAAAGCAUGCUGUGAUAGAAAUGAUGUUGUCAGGAUUUGAGAUGAAGACAUGUAGGAAUGAUAUGGUGACAGUGUGCUCAGCAACAGUCUCCUCUCUACACACAUUUCUCUAUAGAUACGGUAUGUUCAUGUGUUCAUAUUCUUUGUUCCUUAGAACAUUAGGAAAGUCAUACCAUUACUUUGUGUUAACCCUUACCCUGCUAAAUUUCUAUAAUGAACUUGUCCAUCUUUAAAUUUGAACAGUAAAAUUAACUGUUUAAACAGAUGCUUACCAAAAAGAUACUGACUGAAUGGUGGAAAGUGCAGAUCUUGAUAAGACAUCAUGGAUAUGCAGGCUGAUCAAGAUCUACACUGGUCACAAAGGCAGAAUCAAUCGUGUCUAGCAUGAUAAAGGUUAAGAGACUAGAUAUUUCCGGACUAGUAACAGUGUGGAAACACAGGGACAUAAGAUUUAGGGAAGCAUGACAAUUGUUUCUGCCAGAUUAUGUUAAAUUUUAAAUACUUAUACUGUAAGAAAGAAGUAAUAAUUCUUUAUUUGCAUGUUACAUACCCCAUUGAAAAUGAGGAUUUAUAUUGUCAUUCAGUGCCUUCUAUCACUCAGCCCCACAUGUUAGUCAGUCCCUGAAUCAGUAAACCAUUUACUUGUAGUUUCUGAUCAAUAACUGAAUAAUGUUUAAGACUAGAGUGAUCAGACUAUUAUUUAAUCAAAUGAUUAUCUGUUGUCAGUAGAUGACUGCUGUUGUUUCAGGUCAGGUUAUCAGAGGUAUCUGUGACCUUUAAACUGAAAACUGUUUUCAGUAAAUAACCAGAAAUCUUGGGCCUACAAUCACCAAAUUUGAUAUGAAUUAUAGUGAUGUGAUUGUUUACUGUCAGUAGACCAAGGGCCUGCAUGCCUAGUGUCAUGAUCACUGCAUCCUUGAGACUGAAAACCAUUUUCAGUCAGUCACAGGAGAAAUCUAUGACCAGUGCUGUUUUUGGGUUCUUAAUUUCAUUAAUCAUUGUCACAUUGACCCUGAGACUGAAAGUAGUUUGCAGUCUAUGUCUGGUAAAUAUACAGGUGCCAGUCUUUGUAAGAUAAUUGUUUAUGGUCAGUUUAUCACCCAAAGGCAUAUUAUUUUAGGGGUCAGUAUGUUAAAUUUCUAUGACAGCAAAUAGUUUCUGAACAAUAAUUCUGGGAUAUGUUGGGGCUAAUGCCUAAUGCCUUCAAACUUAUAAGAUGAUUGGCUUUUGUCAGUAAACCCUUAAUGUUUCGGAAAAAUCGGUAUGUCAAAGGUCAAGGCCAUGACAAUUUUGACCAUUGAAUAACUAUAGGUCACUUGACCCUAAGGCCUGUGAUCAUAAGACUUCACAAAACAAGUGACAGAAGCCUGCAGUCAGUAGAUGCCAUAACUUUUUAGGGGCCAGCAUUUCAAAGGUCAAGGUCAAAAUGGCACUGAAGCUUAAAAUUGUUUUCAAACAAUAGCUAGUAUAUGUCUGGACCUUAAUGGUCUAGUUGUAUAAUUGAUUGUUUGUUGUCAUAUUACCCCUAUUGUUUUUGGGGGUCAUUAGCAUAAAGGAUAAGGUCACAUUAUACCAGUACUUUAGCCUGAAAAUUAUGAUACCAGUUAUCUUUGACAGGCUAUCUUGUUAGUUAUAACAAAUAGAACAACUUUGAACAUCAGUUGUGAAUAGUACACAGAAUGAAAUGGAAAUUUGGACAACUGAGUGAUUAAUUUGUAUUAAUACAUAUGUUACUGUAUAUAGUAACAAAAAUGAAUGUGUUUUCAACAGGUUAUUGCUUUCACGCACUGAUUAUCACUUAUCGGCCCGGGCCGAAAACUCAUAAUCAUAAUCCGCCCGGUGAACACGUGCGCGUGAAACCAAUAGCUACAUAAAACGUCAUCAUAGACGUCAUAAUGGUCUGUCACUGGUCUACACGUUAAACCGCUGUUUAUCGCAGAAUAUAGAUUAGUAAUAAAACAGGACAUGCACAUAUUUGCUUUGGAGCCAGAGUUCCGAGUUUCAACAGUGUUCGAGUAUGCGUUGUAAAACAGCAUGAUUCUCACCAAUUUCGACGAAGUAGGCCUAACGGGUUUCUUCUCAGUGAAAAUGCUAUGAAUGCUUUUCAUAAACAUAGAUCUAGCUAGAUCUAGAUCUAUCUAGCUAUUGUUAAUAAAAUUGC